GAAGAUAGUGACAUUACUCAAGCCAUUGGUAAAGGCUUCCUCUGGGAGGGACGAAUGCUCAUUGAGUGACACCACAUUCUACCAGCUUGCGUGGAAUCAUCUUCACCCAAAGUCAGAGCUUCUUCCUGCAGAGUUUUUUUGGCAUGUAUUUGUCAUUAAAUAAAAAAUGCUUGAAUGCAAAUGUGAAGAAAAAGCUCCUUGUAUGGAAAACACAGCAGACUGAAUGUCCGAAGAUCUAGCUCCAGUCUGAUGAAGCAAGCUGCCAUGUUGUGAAAUGUUCUACAGAGACGUCCACAUGGGAGGCAACAGGGGGAAGCCUCCACCAAGAGUUCUCCUGAGUAACCAACAACCACUUGAGUGAGCUUAAAAGUGGACCCCGCAGGGUAACACAGAAGGUGAGAAGACUUGAGAGGAAGGAGUUGGAAGGGUGUCACAGGAUGCCAACAGGCUGAAGGAGGAGUUAUAAAUGGCCUGCUGAAAUAGAGAUGAAUUCGCAUGUCUAGUGGAAGCUGAAAGAGGAAGAGUUCAGCAGAGCACCUCAAAGAGCCCGGAAAAGCAGCCAUGGGGAAAAGGUCUGUUUUUAUUUAUUUAUUUCUUCAUCUAUUUAUUUUUAGCUUUUUAGGGCCACAUGUGGCACAUGGAAGUUCCUGGGCUAGAGGUUGAAUCGGAGCUACAGCCGUCAGCCUACACCACAUCCACAGCAAUGUAGGAUCUGAGCCAUGUCUGCAACCUACACCACAGCUCACGGCAAUGCUUGAUCCUUAAUCCAGGGAUCAAACCCACAUCCUCAUGGAUACUAGUCAGGUUUGUUUUUGCUGAGACACAAUGGGAACUUGAAAAGGUCUGUUUGAAUCAUCAGCAACUAACUAGGGAUGACAGCUGUAGGCUCAGGGAUAACAAAGGUGUCAGCCUAGAGAAAACCAUAAUAUUCCCUCUCUCUCUUCCUAUCUUUGACCUUGGCAAGGAACCAACAGGAGGGGAAAACUGUGCAACAGGAAGGGCAGGGUGAGCAGGGAGGGGUAGAAGGGAAGGAGUAAAGACUGGAGGACCAAGUCUGCAGCAGGUCAGAGCUGAAGGAAGGCAAACGACUGAACACUGUCACGUUCCAAGUUUUGAUUAACAUCUUUACCAUGACAUUCUAAUUACUGAAUUGAGAUUGUGUUUGCAACCUAAAGUGACCUUGGAGUAUCUUUUCUAUAAGACUGGAGGCAAAAAUAUAAGGUCUGCCAGAGCUGACAUCAUGGGGCAGAAGAAAAAUCAAUCCCACUGAAUCAAGCUUAAAGGUAUGUUGGGUGAAAGACUGUAAGGCUGUGUUUGGUUUAUGUCAAGAGUGAGCCACAGGGUCCUACUGUAUAGCACAGGGAAAUAUAUUCAAUAUCCUGUGAUGAACCAUAAUGGAGAAGAAUAUGAGAAAGAAUGUGUAUGUAUGUAUUUGCUGUAUAGUAGAAAUUAACACAAUAUUAUAAAUCAACUAUACUUCAAUAAAACUAAAAAAAUUUUUAAGUAAAUCUCAUUAAACUCACCAGGUACACACUGUUGAAGCUGUAUUUUCUACUCCUGAUGACUGAUUCACAUUCUUUCCAAUGUCUUGUCUACACUUAGGAAUAGGUGAAAUUCUUUCGCUUUCAGUCACUAGAUCAUGAUUGUGGCCAAAAGAAACUGUAGAAGAUGAGAACUGUUAGGGAUCAAAGAACACUGGAGUCUAAAAUAUAUAAGGUGGACCUGAAGGCCUAAGGGACAUUUCAUGCCUCCUUCCAAGUUUUUACUGACCAUGUUGACUGAAUGAGAUGUGGCCACCCCAGCCACCCACUUCCAAAGCCCUCUCUUCUCUGUAUCUUCCCUACCCAGAUGCUCCAACUGAGUUGCCAAGAGCUGAGGAUAUAUCACUUGCCUAGGCCUUCAUAUUUCAUCUCCAUGUAUUUUUAUUUUUUUGCUUUUUAGGGCCUCACCCACAGCAUAAGGAAGUUCCCAGGCUAGGGGUCGAAUUAGAGCUGCAGCUGCCAAUGUACACCACAGCCACAGCAACCCAGGAUCUGAGCCAUGGCUGCGACCUACACCGCAGCUCAUGGCAACACCAAAUCCCCAACCCACUGAGCAAGGCCAGGAAUUGAACCCACAUCCUCAUGGAUACUAGUCGGGUUUGUUUCUGCUGCGCCACCACAGAAACUCCUCCAUGUAUUUUCAUAAAAUUUAUCUAUCAUAAGAAUCCUGAUAAAUAGCCAAAAGCCAGGAUGUCUAGAGAAACCAGAGAUGGAAAUUGGUAUCAAGAUUUAUAGACUGUCUAAUACUUCAUUAGCUAGGGGCCAUUUCAGGUAUAAAACAUCCCCUAGGUUUUAAAACAAAUGUCCUCCCCCUCCCCCUACUCCCCCAAAUUAAAACGUAAGAGUAGAAGCAGAGGAACAAUCUCUGUAUUCACCUAAUAUUUUUCAACUAUUGAGCCCUGAACUUAAAAUAUAGAAAAAGGGUCAUAUAUUAUUAUGUGAAAACAGCAAUGGCAACCUUUGCCUUGGCACUGGUGAGGCUCCUCCUUGACCAGCUGAUAUUAAAGGUAACUUGUUGGUUACAUUAUCGCAUCAUCCUCUCAGUCCACACCAAUCCAAUCCCAGUGGCCAGAUCAGAGCUUCCCUGGCAGGGAAGAGUUGGCCUCCAUACUUCAGACUAAGUCUAACAGAGAGGAGAGGAGAGGAGGGUGGAGCAGAGCAUUCCUGAUGGAUGCCUGAGAGGUCCUCCCCUCUGCUGACAAACCAAGUUCACCAAAAACCAAAGGAGAUGUUAAUGAGAGUAUUAGAGCAUGCCAAGAAAAAGAAAAAGAAAAAAA
rnacentral:lncRNA from 1 species